CGCGGGACACGAGAAACCCUGUGGGAAUCUGGGAGGACCAUCUUCCAAGGCUAAAUACUACCUGACGACCGAUAGUGGACGAGUACCGCGAGGGAAAGGUGAAAAGCACCCCGACGAGGGGAGUGAAAUAGACCCUGAAACCAUGUGCCUACAAGCAGUUCGAGCCCUAUGGCCGCAAGGCAAAGGGUGAGAGCGUGCCUUUUGCAUAAUGAGCCUGCGAGUUGUCCUACGUAGCAAGGUUAAGCCGAGAGGUGUAGCCGCAGCGAAAGCGAGUCUGAUAAGGGCGCUUAGUUGCGUGGGGCAGACCCGAAACCGUGUGAUCUACCCCAUGGUCAGGUUGAAGCGCGAGUAACAUCGCGUGGAGGACCGGAACUCACUAAGGUUGAAAACUUAGGGGGAUGAACUGUGGGUAGGGGUGGAAAGGCCAAUCAAACUCGGAAAUAGCUGGUUCU
rnacentral:rRNA from 1 species